GGGCUUAACGUAGCUUCUUCUUCUAGACGUUACAUUAGUAAUACGCUCGCUCAUAAUGUCGAGUCAUAGCCGCAGCAAAUUUGACUGCUUAUGCUUUUGUGUAUUAUGUUGUGCUAUCUGUCGUUUUUCUGUGCUUUUACUGCUUCUAUUAAUGUAAAGCUGCUUUGAAACAAUUAAGUAUUGUGAAAAGCGCUAUAUAAAUAAAAUUGAAUUGAAUUGAAUUGAAUUGAAUGAAGGAACGCUUGAUAUUGUCUGUAAGCAGUCACCCGGAGCUAUACGACACAAGUUCUUAUUUCUAUAGAGACAGGAAUAAAAAGGACCUCACUUGGAAGAGUGUCAGUUGAGGACAUUGGGCAACCUGGUAAGUUGUAAAUACACAUUUCACUUUUGAGUCACGUGACAUUUAUCGAUCUGUGCCAUUUAUUUUCCCACUAUAGUAAGGUGACCAAAUACAUACCGAUAACUCUCUCGAUAAAUUCACAAUCAACAUCAGUCAUCUUGCAAACAGACAACCGCAUAGCACUUUCCCCUCCCACAAGAAGCGGAUUUUGCCUCUGACGGGCGUCAAAUGCUUGUUUUUUUUUAAUGAAUGCAUUCAAACCGUUCAAGCGUCAAACUAGGCGCGUUUUUUACUGUUUUUGAGUCCAUGGAUGCUUAGUGUUUUAUAAGUUGUGUAAGAGCACCACCUAGUGGAUAAUAGCGAAAAUAUGGAUUGCCGUAAAACUCGUUAUUGCCAGGGAAGUGUUUUCUCUUAAUUUGUCAAUGGCAGGGAAAAAGUUAACAUAAACAAUGAAUCAUGUCACUUUUUUGUCUGCGAUACAAGAUGUAUUACUCUUUGAAAUGUUAGCAGUGCGGUUGUCCCGCCUUCAGCGGAUAUCAUCAGCAAACAUGUUUUCAGUUGCAAUCCGGACGAGAUCUAAAUACAUGAAAACCUUUUGUUUUACAGUAACAAAGAGCUUACACUUCCUGCCAAAGUAUUGCAGAUCUGUGGCGAGUGAUUAAAAACAUUCCCACUCAUUUGAUGAUGUGAUGAUUUAUAGCUUUAAUCGUCCCCAAAAUAGCUGGAAGGCGUCUGGUAUACUAGCAGCAGAUUUUUCCAUGGUACUUAUUUCACAACAACCCCACUUGAAGCUGAAGAACACAUCACAACCCGACCCAUCGUGCUUUGCUCUUUAUUGAGUUGAGCUGUACACAAAUCGAGGACAAUAACAAGGUCAGAUGUGCUCUGGGCUUUCAGUUGUUCAUCUUGUUUUGCUAGCUAUUGAAUUUGUCAUGCCGUGGCAGAACUGAAAAUACUUUUCCUGCAUUUGCCGAAAUCCAGCCCCCCCACCUUCUCUUUUCCAGGCUGAUUUCAUUGGGAAUGCUAUUAAUUGAGAUCAAAUGCUGUUCGGAGAACGCUCUUGUUGCACAUGGCUGCAUAUUUGUGGUGCCCUGUGAAACCUAAUCGGCUUGUUUCUCAAGCGUUCAGUCAAGAUGACAAGCUGGAGAUAUGAAGUGAUAGGAAUGACACACAUCUGUUUGUAGAUUAUACAGGCCUUUUUUAAAGCAUUAACACAAAUUUUUCAGUCAAAGUAAAAACUAUAACACAGUAUUCAUGUUUUUUAAAGCAUGGGUCUUCAACAGGGGUCUGCGGGGACAAAAGAACAAAAAUUGUUAUUUUAAAUAUUUGUAACAUAAGCAUCACAACAAGGUGUCUGUUAUAAAUAAUAAUAAAUACAGUCUUAAUUUGA